ACGGUUGGACACCUGGGAUGGGUGGGCGGAGUUCCUCAGAGGCUGCUUCCUGGGACACAGACUGACCGUCCAACGACACCUGUCUAGGGAGAGACCUGUGAUGAGGUUCCAGCUCCGGGUGGCACUCUACAUCGCUGCUUCUCUGGGCCACCUGGACCUGGCCGGCUGGCUGCUGGAGAGGGGGGUGCGUGUCAUUGAGCCGGUGGGGGUUCACCCUUACCGUGAGUGGUGCCACCAGAUGGCCCACCCCGACGUCGCCAAGUAUCCCAUUGAACUUGUCCGGUGGCCAUUUGAUUAAUUGUUCAGCAGUCUUAUGACUCCUGAAACAAAUCAUGAGCCAACUAUCAUGCUUAGAAGAUGUAUAGUGUCAGUCUUAUUGGUUCACCCUAACAAGUUGUUUCAGUAUGGGGAGAGGAUAGGAUGUAAGGACGCUUCAUUAAUGUAUUGAGGCCAUUACAUAUACAGUAUUUCACAAUGCUAGGACACAGAUUUGGUCUCCUAACCUUGUUCUGGUUGAUUGACUCUCUAACAGUGCCUUCACACAGAGACCAUGGUUGCAGCAGCUGAAUGUAGCGCGGACUCUGUCCAGGAGGAGUGCUCAGCACAUUGGGUAGACACCAGGAUCCUGGAUUAGGCAGAUUAAACAUACUGAAACAAGGAGGGACAACCUGGAAUUGUCCAAAAAGGAACUCUUAUUUGAGUUUUUUUUUAAAUUUUUUACAGUGAACAAGAUGAGACUUUGGAACGGAUGAUGCCUGAAACAAUGCGGACGACUUAGAAUUUCGUUCCUUUGGAUGAGGCUUAUAGAUAUAGUCAGUACUGUGUUUGAUUUGUGUGCAGAAAGUUUACAACGGCAGGCAGUGGAUUCUCAGUCAUUCCUAUUCUCAAAAAACAAAAAACGUAUCAUAUUUCACUGGCUAUUUGUAGUAGCCAAAUGUGAAUGGAAUUAUUAUUAUUCUAGAAUCAUUCAGUUGACUGAAUGUGACUAUGUGAUUGUACUGAAUGUGACUAUGUGGUUGUGCUGUAUGUGAUUGUACUGAAUGUGACUAUGUGGUUGUGCUGUAUGUGAUUGUACUGAAUGUGGUUGUACUGUACGUGAUUGUAAGUGUUUGACAUGGGUCUAAUUGAGGCUCCACCCCCCCCCCCCCCCCUUUAUCCUGCUGCCUUAAAACUCUUUUAUUAAGAUGUGGAUCAUUAUUGCUCAUAUGAGUCUGUGCAGUGUCAAAAUAAUACAUACUGUCUUUCACAGAGUAUUUGACAAACUCUUUAUUUACGUUACAAAACUGACAACUACUGUGACGAUGUGUUAGCACAGCAUGUGUCAUCAUUCCCCUGCAGUGUGUGGAUUUACACAGCAACAUAGCAGACAGCUUAAAUAGUUUAUUUAACCUUUAUUUCACUAGACAAGUCAGUUCAGAACAACCUUCUCAACCUUCUUGACAGGUAAGAAACACUUGGUUAGUGUUUGUGUCUUAUCCAAUGGGUUGUCAGGUGAACGUUGAAGAUGCUUCUUGGAGGUGAUCUAAUGAUGUCAUUGAGUUGCUUACUGGACAAGACAAUUAUUCACUGAAAAUGAAAUCUGUCUUUCAUUUCACUUAUGUUGAUACUUGAUUGGCUAUUUGCUGUCUUUUGAAAAUACAAAAAUAAAUAUAACUGUUUUAUGAA